rnacentral:lncRNA from 1 species
CAAAGAUUCGCCUGCCUCUGCCUCCCAACACUCGGGAGGCAGAGGCAGGCAGAUCUCUGUGAGUUCAAGGCCAGCCUGGUCUACAGAGUGAGUUCUAGGACAGAAUCCAAAGAAAUACAGAGAAACCCUGUCUCGAAAAACAAAAACAUUAAAAAAGAAAAAUACACACUAGCAGUGAAUGAGAGGAUAGUUCAGUGCAAGGACAUUGAGAAAAUCUAAUCUUAUUUAUGUUUAUAACUCCAGAUACUCAAAACUGACAAAGAGCCAGGUAUAGUGGUUAAUGCCUUUAAUCGUGGCACUUGGGAAGCAGAGGCAAGUGGAUCUCUUUGAGUUCGAGGCCAGCCUGGUCUACAGAGCAAGUGCCAGGACAGCCUCCUAAGCUACAGAGAGAAACCCUGUCUGGAACUGCCCAUCCACAAAAAAAAAAAAAAAAAAAAAAAAAGCACCAGCUGUGGAUAAGAGUGUGUACACAAACACAUUUCAUUGUUUAUAUUAAAUACCUGAUGCAUUAAACAUAUGCUCCAAUAACUUGAUAGCUUUUGAUUUAUCCAAACAGUAUAAUGAAAUUUACAGCCAACUUUCAUCCCAUCACAGGGAGGUGCAGUUGUGUAUUUCUGAAACCAGAUUAUAGUAGACUAACCAUUAAUACACUUAUAUUGUACACUUUUGUAGGUCUGUCUUUAUUUUUCCCACGGGACUAUGAGUGGUUGGGAGGUAACAUUUUGGCACUAAACAGAACUUGCCCACUCUCCCCCCAAUCCCAGUCUUUUCAAAUCUAGGAUACAUUAAGUCAAAACAGAAACUGCAAUUUGAGAUGAAGACCACACCUAGUAUUUGAACAGCAUGUAUUUGCUCAGCUCUGUCUGACCUGCCUGCCCUGCCCUGCCUUCAUUCUAUUGGAAGGGGCUGUGUUCCAGGGAGUGCCUUUUCCAAGGUCACAGAGUCACAUGAUAUCCUCUCAAAAUCCGGCUUUCCUGAGUCUUCCAGCCUUGCUACCUAGGCUGGCCUUGACUUCAGGAGCCCAAGUGAUCUUCCUGCUAUGGCCUCUGGGAUAGUAGAAACUACAGGUGCGCACCAUCUGUCUAAUGAUGUUAAUUUUCCCUCUCAUUUAAUAAAUGAUUUAAAGAGGC